rnacentral:lncRNA from 1 species
GGUUACAUAGUAUAGUUUCUGUAUUCCUGAUUGGACCUCAACUUGUUUUUCAGUGAAUAUUUCCCCAAAGCUUCCCUUCUAACAGUUACGAUUUGCUAAGAUGAACUGCUUAAAAUCACAGAGCCAACAUCACUCCAUCAAUUAAUACUUGGCAAAGAGAACCCGAACUGGAUUUCAGCCCUGACUUCUGCCUGCUCAUCUGGACAGUUUCGUCCAAGGUAAGAUUGUAUGCAGAGUAUUUGAUUGAAAUAAUAUACGUAAAGCAGUUGGCAUAUAGCACUUGCUUUUCAUACAGUGUAUUACAUACAUAACACAUAUUCCACAUAAAUAUUUUUUCUUAGAUGUAUCAAUUAUAGUCCAGGGAGAGUAACAUA